rnacentral:rRNA from 1 species
GACGAACGCUGGCGGCGUGCCUAAUACAUGCAAGUAGAACGCUGAAGGAGGAGCUUGCUCUUCUGGAUGAGUUGCGAACGGGUGAGUAACGCGUAGGUAACCUGCCUGGUAGCGGGGGAUAACUAUUGGAAACGAUAGCUAAUACCGCAUAACAGUAGAUGUUGCAUGACAUUUACUUAAAAGGUGCAAUUGCAUCACUACCAGAUGGACCUGCGUUGUAUUAGCUAGUUGGUGGGGUAACGGCUCACCAAGGCGACGAUACAUAGCCGACCUGAGAGGGGGAUCGGCCAAACUGGGACUGAGACACGGCCCAGACUCCUACGGGAGGCAGCCGUAGGGAAUCUUCGGGAAUGGACGGAAGGCUGAACGGGCAACGCCGGGGGAGUGAAGAAGGGUUUCGGAUCGGAAAGCUCCGUUGUAAGAGAAGAAAGAGUGUGAGAGUGGAAAGUUCACACUGUGACGGUAUCUUACCAGAAAGGGACGGCUAACUACGUG